rnacentral:rRNA from 1 species
GACGAACGCUGGCGGCGUGCUUAACACAUGCAAGUCGAACGAGGAAAUUGACUUCGGUUGAUUUUCGAGUGGCGGACGGGUGAGUAACGCGUGAGCAAUCUGUCCUACAGAGGGGGAUAACAACUGGAAACAGUUGCUAAUACCGCAUAACCCGCUAAGGUCGCAUGACCUAGACGGAAAAGAUUUAUCGGUACGAGAUGGACCCGCGUCUGAUUAGCUAGUUGGUGAGGUAACGGCUCACCAAGGCGACGAUCAGUAGCCGGCCUGAGAGGGUGACCGGCCACAUUGGGACUGAGACACGGCCCAGACUCCUACGGGAGGCAGCAGUGGGGGAUAUUGGUCAAUGGGGGAAACCCUGAACCAGCGACGCCGCGUGAGGGAAGAAGGUUAUUUGAUUGUAAACCUCUGUCGUCAGGGAAGAAAAUGACGGUACCUGACAAGGAAGCACCGGCUAACUACGUG